UACAGAGGUCCCAAGCGUUGUUCGGAUUCACUGGGCGUAAAGGGUGCGUAGGUGGUGAGGUAAGUCGGAUGUGAAAUCUCCGGGCUCAACCCGGAAAUGGCAUUGGAAACUACCUUGCUAGAGGAUUUGAGGGGGGAUUGGAAUACUUGGUGUAGCAGUGAAAUGCGUAGAUAUCAAGUGGAACACCAGUGGCGAAGGCAAAUCCCUGGAAAAUACCUGACACUGAGGCACGAAAGCUAGGGGAGCAAACAGG
rnacentral:rRNA from 1 species